CCCUGCUGCUGCUGCUGCUCGCCGCCCGCCCCGGGGCCGCGCUGCCCGGGCAGGACGGGCCGGGGGAGCCCGCGGAGGGUCCCGAGGAGGCGGCGGGCAGCGCGGAUUUCCUGAGCCGGCAGCUGCAGAGCCUGAGCGAGCUGGUGAGCAGAGAGCUGCCCCCGCAGCUGCGGCCCCAGGAGCUGCGCGCACAGGCCGGGCUGUACCUGGAGCGCGCUAACAAACAGCUGGAGCCGCUGGCCCGGGAGCUGCAGAACAACGUGCUGGGGCUGUUCUCGUCCCUGCUGGGGCUGCGCCGGGCCGAGACCCCCGAGACCCCCUGAGAGCCCCGAGACCCCCGGGGAGACACCCCCGAGACCCCCCGAGACACCCGGGGGAUACCCCUGAGACCCCCUGAGAGCCCCGAGACCCCCGGGGAGACACCCCUGAGAGCCCCACAUGGACCUGGACUGAGCCCUGAGACCCCCAGGAUGGGCCUGGACACAGCCCCGAGACCCCCGCAUGGACCCCAAAACAGCCCAAAGACCCCCUGAGAGCCCCCCCACGGUUCCCAAAUACAGCCCUGAGACCCCCACACGAACCCCAAUAUGGCCCUGAGACCCCCACAUGGAUACCGAGACAGCCCUGAGACCCCCAGGAUGGGCCCAGACGCAGCCCUGAGAUCCCCCAAGACCCCCAAAUAAAGCCCUGAACAUCC